rnacentral:lncRNA from 1 species
CCGGCCUUGGAGAAGAAGGGGGCCUGGCCCCAGGUGCUGAGGGAUGGGAAAGGAGUGACCUUUCAAUGUAGGAAACUUGGAGGCAAAGGUUCGUGAGCAUCCGCUGACACUUGGUAGGGCUCAUGGAGCUCACAGUCUGGAGGGUAAGACAGACUCAGCAAACAGCACCCCAGGUGACCUUGGAGGCCUCAUUGCAAGUGGUGCAACAUCUUCAGUGAUGCUUUGGAGGAAAACGACGUCAUGCAAAUUACUACACAAAUCACUAUUGUUAGUUGGGGUUGGCUCUAAAAAGGAAAAGGUUAAGGUGCCUUGAACACUUUGCCUGGUGAUCCAGGUGAAGGUAAGAGCAUGGACAAGGGCCCUGAAGCAGGAAGGAGGAACCCAAAGCAAACCAGCAUGACUGGAGGUAAUGAGCAAGGUAGAGUGGCGUGAGAGGAAGGAGCAUGAUCUUGAUGCAAGAUGCAUGGGUUUGUGGCAGGAAUUUGAUGGAUAGGGACUGGACACUGCCUUGGCACCCUCCCCCCUCUCCCUAGGGGCAGAGCAUCAAUUUAAGAAACCAGAUUGUAACCAGGAGGGGGUGAACCUAGAAACUCAGAAUUUG